rnacentral:rRNA from 1 species
UGGGGAAUAUUGGACAAUGGGGGCAACCCUGAUCCAGCAAUGCCGCGUGUGUGAAGAAGGUCUUCGGAUUGUAAAGCACUUUCGACGGGGACGAUGAUGACGGUACCCGUAGAAGAAGCCCCGGCUAACUUCGUGCCAGCAGCCGCGGUAAUACGAAGGGGGCUAGCGUUGCUCGGAAUGACUGGGCGUAAAGGGCGUGUAGGCGGUUUACACAGUCAGAUGUGAAAUCCCCGGGCUUAACCUGGGAGCUGCAUUUGAUACGUGUAGACUAGAGUGUGAGAGAGGGUUGUGGAAUUCCCAGUGUAGAGGUGAAAUUCGUAGAUAUUGGGAAGAACACCGGUGGCGAAGGCGGCAACCUGGCUCAUGACUGACGCUGAGGCGCGAAAGCGUGGGGAGCAAACAGGAUUAGAUACCCUGGUAGUCCACGCUGUAAACGAUGUGUGCUAGAUGUUGGGUAACUUUGUUAUUCA